AGUGAACGCUGGCGGUAGGCCUAACACAUGCAAGUCGAACGGCAGCACAGUAAGAGCUUGCUCUUACGGGUGGCGAGUGGCGGACGGGUGAGGAAUACAUCGGAAUCUACUUUUUCGUGGGGGAUAACGUAGGGAAACUUACGCUAAUACCGCAUACGACCUACGGGUGAAAGCAGGGGAUCUUCGGACCUUGCGCGAUUGAAUGAGCCGAUGUCGGAUUAGCUAGUUGGCGGGGUAAAGGCCCACCAAGGCGACGAUCCGUAGCUGGUCUGAGAGGAUGAUCAGCCACACUGGAACUGAGACACGGUCCAGACUCCUACGGGAGGCAGCAGUGGGGAAUAUUGGACAAUGGGCGCAAGCCUGAUCCAGCCAUACCGCGUGGGUGAAGAAGGCCUUCGGGUUGUAAAGACCUUUUGUUGGGAAAGAAAAGCAGCAGGUUAAUACCCCGCCGUUCUGACGGUACCCAAAGAAUAAGCACCGGCUAACUUCGUG
rnacentral:rRNA from 1 species